CUAUCACAAAAGAAAAUUGUGUGGACAGCGGUGUGCAUGAAGACUUAUAUGGAAGGACAAGCUGAGUGUCCAUCCAGUCAGUGAUCUCUCUUCUCAUCACUGCCACAUUCUGAAAAGACGAAGUGACGCCGCCAUAACACCGCCCGGAGUAAACAACAGUCUCCACUUCCGGGUUCCUUUCUUCCCUCUGGUCCCUCAAAGAUGACGUCAUGCUUCCAUCCACAACCACGUUUACCCAGCAGCCAUCUCGCAUAAUUUCCAGUCCACCCCUUUAUAUUGU